CCUACGGGAGGCAGCAGUGAGGAAUAUUGGUCAAUGGGAGGAAUCCUGAACCAGCCAUGCCGCGUGCAGGACGACGGCUCUACGAGUUGUAAACUGCUUUUGUACCGGGGUAAAAUGGUCUAUGAGUAGGGUUUUGAAAGUACGGUACGAAUAAGGAUCGGCUAACUCCGUGCCAGCAGCCGCGGUAAUACGGAGGAUCCGAGCGUUAUCCGGAUUUAUUGGGUGUAAAGGGUGCGUAGGUUGUUUUAUAAGUUAGCGGUGAAAUACCGAUGCUCAACAUCGGAGCUGCCGCUAAUACUGUAGGACUAGAGAUCGGAUGCAGCAGGCGGAAUGUGUAGUGUAGCGGUGAAAUGCAUAGAUAUUACACAGAACACCGAUUGCGAAGGCAGCUUGCUAGGCCGGAUCUGACACUGAUGCACGAAAGCGUGGGGAUCGAACAGGAUUAGAUACCCGAGUAGUC
rnacentral:rRNA from 1 species